rnacentral:rRNA from 1 species
AGCGAACGCUGGCGGCAGGCUUAACACAUGCAAGUCGAGCGGGCGUAGCAAUACGUCAGCGGCAGACGGGUGAGUAACGCGUGGGAACAUACCUUUUGUUCGGAACAACACAGGGAAACUUGUGCUAAUACCGGAUAAGCCCUUACGGGGAAAGNUUUAUCGCCGAAAGAUUGGCCCGCGUCUGAUUAGCUAGUUGGUGAGGUAACGGCUCACCAAGGCGACGAUCAGUAGCUGGUCGAGAGGAUGAUCAGCCACAUUGGGACUGAGACACGGCCCAAACUCCUACGGGAGGCAGCAGUGGGGAAUAUUGGACAAUGGGCGAAAGCCUGAUCCAGCCAUGCCGCGUGAGUGAUGAAGCCCUAGGGUUNUAAAGCUCUUUUGUGCGGGAAGAUAAUGACGGUACCGCAAGAAUAGCCCCGCUAACUUCGUGCCAGCAGCCGCU